UCAAUUUGACUAAAGUUCGAUAUUUAUUUUUCGAAUUUUCGGUAUAUUACAUUCUCCACCCCUUAAAAUAAUUUUAUCCGCGAAAUUACGCAUACCUUAACUCGUCGACUCAAAUAGAUGUGGAUACUCUCUCCGCAUGGUCUCCUCGAGCUCCCAAGUGGCUUCUCGCACCGCAUGGUUGCUCCAUUGGACCUUCACAUAUGGAAUUCUGCGACUCCGCAGCUUUCUUUCUUCUCGAUCGAGGAUGCACACCAGGUAUGUAGCACAUUGGACAUUUGCAAAUUGCGAGGUUCGAGUGUUUGAUAUGGAUUCCGAAUUUUUCCACACUUGGUGGAAGGUCGUAGAUGGUAUUCCGACCUAAAAGUUCGAUUUCUGGAGUUUUGACUUUGUCCUGAGAAUUUUUACUCUCGGGGAUCGGUCCCUGAAAUGAGAGACCGGUCCCUUCAGAACAGUGUCGCGGCCAGCUUGAGGCAACCGGUCCCUGGCGGGGAGAGACCGGUUCCCGAACGUUGGAUUUUCGGGACAGGUUGAGAGACCGGUCCUAAGUCGGGGAGACCGGUCCCUCAGUCCGAAAACUGCCCAGCCCGGGCAGUGCACAGUGUUGAUUGUUGAGGGGCUUAUCAGGAUUUUGUUACAUUAGAAGGCUUUUAGACCCUUUCUCCUCUCUCUUUCUCUCAUUUUCUCCCCUUCACACCCACCCUUGAGAGAAAAAGAGAAGGAGAAGAAGGAGAAGUAGGAGAAGGAGAGGAGAGGAGCUUGCUUGGAGGCUUUAGAGCAUCAUCUUCUUCCUCAUUUCUUACCUUGGUGGCUUGGAGCUCGCCGUUGAAGCUUUGUGGAGGAUCAAACUCCAACCCUACUUGGUUUAGAGCUUGGAUUGGAGCUUCUCUUGAGGUUGGUAGCUUGUAUUUUUCAUUUAAUACAAGUUUUUCUAAAUUUUACCAUUUGAAACCCUAGAUUUUGGGAUUUAGGGUUUAUUUUGGGGAUUUUUGAUUUGAGGGCUUUGAAACCUAAUUGAUGGGUUUAGAACCUUCAUUUAGGUUGGAUUUGAAAAACUCUAACUCCCAUUUGGAGCUUGAGAGAGGAUUUCUUCACCUAGGUGAGUUUUCUCCACCUUAGCCUAUGUUGCUUAUUGUUUGAGCUUAGGGUUGAUCGUAAGGUUUGUUUGACCCUUGUUCCUAUAUCUUUAGGGUGCUAGGAGACUAGUCGACACCUUCGUCGAAGCUUACGAAGGGUUUCGGAAUUUUCGGUGGGUUUGACUUCAUGAAAACGGGGCGAAAAGGUCCCUAAGUAUUUUAUACUUGUCGUAACAUCAAUUUGAUUGCAUAUUCAUGUUAAAUGGGACUUAUGUGAAUUUUAGAACACUUAAAAUGCAUGCCUUAUGUAUCAUAAAAUUUCACUCUAUAUAGUAGGGCCUUCUGGGCAUUUUUGCAUGCAUAUGGGAAGUGUUUGUGUAGCGACUUGGUGUUGAAGCAUUAAAAAAAAAAAGGAAAGAAGAAGAAGAAAAAAAAAAGAGAAAAAAAAAGUGGAAAGAGAGAAAAUUUGAAUAAUGGUGUAUGAGACGAUCUAUGCACUAGGUGCGUGGAGAAAAUUUGAGUUCAAAUUUUGAACGUGGUGCAUAGGUUAAUCCAUGCACCAGGUGCAUAGACUACAAAGAGAAGGAAGAGAGAAUGCUCUCGUAUGGGUAUUACACAUAGCAAAUUAGUCCUUUCCCUUUCAUAUAUUUGCAUGAUACUCCACUUCAAGCAUAUAAUAUGUUUUUUAUUUUAACUAAAGUAUAAUAUAAGCAAAUGAGAAGGGCUAAUAUGCAAUACCAUACCCAUGAUCCCAUGACCAAAAUAUCCUAACUACCCACAUCCCACUACCCCUAUCAUCUGCACGUUCUAAAAAAAAAAAAAGGGGAAAAUGAGAGAAAAAAAAAAUCCAAGCAGUUAUAACCUAAGUCCAUAAAUAUCUAUUUGGACCCCAAUUGGAACACUUUGUUUUUUGAACUCUCAAACCCAUUCCUAAAAAAAAAAAUCCCACUGUUUACGAAAGAAAAAAGAAAGGUAAUUUUCUCUUCUCCAUGGAUGCUACAAUCAAAGCUCUCUCUCUCUCUCUCUUUCUCUCUCUCACCAUUAACGCCGUAAAUCGCAUCGACACUCUCCAUUAACGCCUCAUGGCGGAGCUUGGGCGCCUCUCCGACGACUUCCGCAAAGACUUCCACCCACGAGUUCGGCCUCCGCCUCCUUGACGCACACCUCGUCUUCGUGCGCCGCAUCGGUGGCAUCGCCGCGUGCGGGUGCAACGCCCAACGCGAUUUCGUCCUCACCCUCACCUUCGUCGCUUACCACCCGCCGUCCGCCUGGGCGCUACUCGACCCCCUUUGCGUCGCCCGCCUCGCCGACUACGCCGUACCCGAUGCCUCCCGCGACUACCGCCGCCUCGUCGUCGAGUUUGCACGCGCCGGCCUCUUCGAGAAGAAGGGCCGCGGCGCGCUCCUCGUGUUGGCCGCCAUGCUCCUCAUGCUCGCCGACGCCUUCUACGGCGUCGUCGCUUCCUCCAGCCCCGCCGUCGACUUGCUCUCGGCGGCCCUCAUGGGCGCUCUUUGGAUGCAGCCUGGCUUCCUCGACCACGACUCUGGCCACUAUAAUGUCCUGCUCACCCCCCCCCCGCACUAAAUCGACUCGUGCAGGUGGUGGCUGGAAACUGCAUGGCGAGGAUCAGUAGUGAGUGGUGGAAGUAGAACUACAAUGCACACCACAUCGCCUGCAACAACCUGGACUUCAACCCGGACGUCCAGCACAUGCCGCUGUUCACCGUGUCCGCCAGGCCCUUCGCGUCGUUGCUGUCGGCCUUCUACGGGACGCCCUCGACACCGGCCUCUUCUCCGUCAUGGUCGGCCUCGUCACCGCUCACCAGGUGUUCGCUCUGUGUCCACAGCCUUCUACGGGACGCCCUCGACACCGGCCUCUUCUCCGACAUGGCCGGACUUAUCACCGCUCACCAGGNUUCUCCGUCAUGGUCGGCCUCGUCACCGCUCACCAGGUGUUCGCUCUGUGUCCACAGCCUUCUACGGGACGCCCUCGACACCGGCCUCUUCUCCGACAUGGCCGGACUUAUCACCGCUCACCAGGUGUUCGCUCUGUGUCCACAACGAACAUCGGUUCUUUAAAAAGAGGUUUCUAUUAGUCUACUCCCCCUCCGGCAGCAGCCGUUGUAUCUCGCUCGCCACCAGCGGAUCCUUGAUCCCCCACGACGAAGGCGAUAGUAUGUUGAAGCUGCAAGCUGCGGGCGAGGUGCGGCGGCUACAUCGCGCGAGCCGCGGCGUCGGUCCAGGCUGCGGCGCUCAAGGCGGAGCACGUGCAGGCGGUGGUGGCCCCAACCGUCGAGAAGGUACUGCAGAACGUCCUGCAGUCGUGCCGCGACAGCUAUGGAUCGGCGGUGGACGCGCUGCAGAAUGCGCCGACGAUUGGUGCGCGACGGCGGGCGGCUCGCGGACGUCAACAGUGAGCUCUCGGCCGCCGGCACGUUCUUUGACACCUGCUAGAACUCGUUCGACGAGUUCCCGGACGUCGACGGCUCACCCCUCGCAAACGUGCAGACCAAUCUCAGCAGGCUCGCCAGCAACAGCAUCAGCCUCGCCACCUACAAGGCCUUCUAGGAUGUUGCUCUGACGGAGUUGGCGCCGACGAAUCAUGCCUACCAAUUGUUUGAUGAAAUGCCUAAGAUGUAUUUUUGACGGCGAAUCCAAUCUGUACAUGAAGAGCGAGAGCGGUGCUUUUCUCUUUAUAAAAAAUAAUGUCUUAUCAAAAGAGAGUGAGCGGUGUUCUUCUCUUUAUAAAAAAAAAUAUAGCAUCAUCGAAAGAGGGAGAGAGCGGUGCUCUUCUCUUUGCAAAAAAAAAGUAUAUUAUCAAAAGAGAGAGAGAAAGAGAUUACUUCUCUAAUUACCAAAGAGAGAGGGAGCUUUGUUACAAAAAGGGAGGCAAGGAAGGGAUUUUUCCACCUUAGUUGUCCCAUGAAUAUAAAAGAAGACAAGAAGGAUUAUCCAUCUUUGUUGUCCUGUAGUUUCAAAGGAAAUAAAGAGAAAAAUACUCUCUUAAUUCUCCUAUAAUGAGGAGACAAAAGAAAAUUAAUCGGGUUAUCGAUUAAUAUUCUUUUGAUCGUCCUUUUAUUGGAAGAACAAUGGGAUGUUCGGAAAAUCGAACUCUUUGAUUCUAUCCAAAGUCGAAUCUUUCGAUUUGGCCAAAUUAGACUAAAUUGAGAUUUAAUCGCAUUGGACAUUUUAUGUGAUUCAUAAAAAAAUGCAUUCGAAAUUUUUUUAAGUGAUGAAUUUGAUUCUGAAUCAUACAUUUAAAUAUUU
rnacentral:lncRNA from 1 species